rnacentral:tRNA from 1 species
GUCGUUGUAGUAUAGUGGUAAGUAUUUUUGCCUGUCACGCGGGUGGCCCGGGUUCGGUUCUUGGCAACGGCG